AUUGAACGCUGGCGGCAAGCCUAACACAUGCAAGUCGCACGAGUGGCGGACGGGUGAGUAAUGUCUUGGAAACUGCCUGAUGGAGGGGGAUAACUACUGGAAACGGUAGCUAAUACCGCAUACCAUCGGAUGUGCCCAGAUGGGAUUAGCUAGUAGGUUGGGGAAAGGCUCACCUAGGCGACGAUCCCUCGCUGGUCUGAGAGGAUGACCAGCAACACUGGAACUUAGACACGGGCCAGACUACGACGGGAGGCAGCAGGUGGGCAUAUUGCACAAUGGGCGCAAGCCUGAUGCAGCCAUGCCGCGUGUAUGAAGAAGGCUUUCGGGUUGUAAAGUUCUUUCAGCGGGGAGGCGUUACCCGCAGAAGAAGCACCGGCUAACUCCGUGACAGCCGCCGCGGUAAUAC
rnacentral:rRNA from 1 species